rnacentral:rRNA from 1 species
UACGGGGGGAGCAAGCGUUGUCCGGAUUUAUUGGGCGUAAAGAGCGUGUAGGCGGCCAGGUAGGUCUGCUGUGAAAACUCGAGGCUCAACCUCGAGACGUCGGCGGAAACCAUCUGGCUAGAGUCCGGAAGAGGAGAGUGGAAUUCCUGGUGUAGCGGUGAAAUGCGCAGAUAUCAGGAAGAACACCCGUGGCGAAGGCGGCUCUCUGGACCGGUACUGACGCUGAUGCGCGAAAGCGUGGGGAGCAAACGGG